rnacentral:rRNA from 1 species
UACGGAGGGUGCAAGCGUUAUCCGGAUUCACUGGGUUUAAAGGGUGCGUGAGGUGGGUAGGUAAGUCAGUGGUGAAAAUCUUCGAGCUUAACUCGGAAACUGCCAUUGAUACUAUUUAUCUUGAAUACUCUGGAGGUAAGCGGAAUAUGUCAUGUAGCGGUGAAAUGCUUAGAUAUGACAUAGAACACCAAUUGCGAAGGCAGCUUACUACAUAGUUAUUGACACUGAGCACGAAAGCGUGGGGAGCAAACAGG